rnacentral:rRNA from 1 species
UCGAGAAUUUUUCUCAAUGGGGGAAACCCUGAAGGAGCGACGCCGCGUGGGGGAUGAAGGACUUCGGUUCGUAAACCCCUGUCACUUGGGAACAAAAGUGCUCACCUAAUACGUGAGUACCUGAUAGUACCAGGAGAGGAAGGCACGGCUAACUCUGUGCCAGCAGCCGCGGUAAUACAGAGGUGCCAAGCGUUGUUCGGAUUUAUUGGGCGUAAAGGGUGCGUAGGCGGUCAUGCAAGUCGGGUGUGAAAUACCGGAGCCUAACUCCGGAACGGCAUUCGAAACUGCAAGGCUCGAGAUCUGGAGAGGUGAUUGGAAUUCUCGGUGUAGCAGUGAAAUGCGUAGAUAUCGAGAGGAACACCAGAGGCGAAAGCGAAUCACUGGACAGAAUCUGACGCUGAGGCACGAAAGCUAGGGGAGCAAACGG